GGGUCAGGAGGUUGGUCGUGCCACCGGUACGUACUGGUCUCACUGAUUCCUCCUUCCUGAAGAACCGUAAUGCCAUUAAUUUGGUGUUGCGGGGAAACAGGACUGUUGCUUUGAAAAAAUUAGAGUGUUUAAAGCAAGAUAACGCUUGAAUACAUUAGCAUGGAAUAAUGAAAUAGGACGAUCGAUCCUAUUUUGUUGGUUUCUAGGAUUGACGUA
rnacentral:rRNA from 1 species